GACGAACGCUGGCGGCGUGCUUAACACAUGCAAGUCGAACGGAAAGGCCCUGCUUUUGUGGGGUGCUCGAGUGGCGAACGGGUGAGUAACACGUGAGUAACCUGCCCUUGACUUUGGGAUAACUUCAGGAAACUGGGGCUAAUACCGGAUAGGAUCUCCUGCUGCAUGGUGGGGGUUGGAAAGUUUCGGCGGUUGGGGAUGGACUCGCGGCUUAUCAGCUUGUUGGUGGGGUAGUGGCUUACCAAGGCUUUGACGGGUAGCCGGCCUGAGAGGGUGACCGGCCACAUUGGGACUGAGAUACGGCCCAGACUCCUACGGGAGGCAGCAGUGGGGAAUAUUGCACAAUGGGCGGAAGCCUGAUGCAGCAACGCCGCGUGCGGGAUGACGGCCUUCGGGUUGUAAACCGCUUUCGCCUGUGACGAAGCGUGAGUGACGGUAAUGGGUAAAGAAGCACCGGCUAACUACGUG
rnacentral:rRNA from 1 species